rnacentral:tRNA from 1 species
GUCUGCAUAGAUUAAGUUUAUUAAAUUGUAAGGCUGUUAACCUUGAGAUAAUAUUUAUUUGUGGACG